CGGAGGUCGCGGGUUCAAGUCCCGUCAGGGUCGCAAUUAAGCGGCGAGUUUUUACUCGCCGCUUUUUGCUUUUUCA
rnacentral:tRNA from 1 species